rnacentral:tRNA from 1 species
GGGAUUGUAGUUCAAUUGGUGAGAGCACCGCCCUGUCAAGGCGGAAGCUGCGGGUUCGAACCCCGUCAGUCCCG